rnacentral:rRNA from 1 species
GACGAACGCUGGCGGCGUGCUUUACACAUGCAAGUCGAACGGUGAAGGUGGAGCUUGCUCCGCCGGAUCAGUGGCGAACGGGUGAGUAACACGUGGGCAACCUGCCCCUAACUUUGGGAUAACUACUCGAAAGAGUAGCUAAUACCGGAUAUGAAGUCUGUAGGCAUCUACGGAUUUGGAAAGUUUUUCGGUUAGGGAUGGGCCCGCGGCCUAUCAGCUUGUUGGUGAGGUAGUGGCUCACCAAGGCGACGACGGGUAGCCGGCCUGAGAGGGCGACCGGCCACACUGGGACUGGGACACGGCCCAGACUCCUACGGGAGGCAGCAGUGGGGAAUAUUGCGCAAUGGGCGAAAGCCUGACGCAGCAACGCCGCGUGCGGGAUGAAGGCCUUCGGGUUGUAAACCGCUUUCAGCAGGGAAGAAGCGAAAGUGACGGUACCUGCAGAAGAAGCACCGGCAAACUCCGUGCCAGCAGCCGCGGUAA